rnacentral:rRNA from 1 species
GUGUCUUCGAGUCGUUGAUUUCACACUGCCGAGAAAAGCCUCUAGAUAGAAAAUAGGUGCCCGUACCGCAAACCGACACAGGUAGUCAAGAUGAGAAUUCUAAGGUGAGCGAGCGAACUCUCGUUAAGGAACUCGGCAAAAUGACCCCGUAACUUCGGGAGAAGGGGUGCUCUUUAGGGUUAACGCCCAGAAGAGCCGCAGUGAAUAGGCCCAAGCGACUGUUUAUCAAAAACACAGGUCUCUGCUAAACCGUAAGGUGAUGUAUAGGGGCUGACGCCUGCCCGGUGCUGGAAGGUUAAGAGGAGUGGUUAGCUUCUGCGAAGCUACGAAUCGAAGCCCCAGUAAACGGCGGCCGUAACUAUAACGGUCCUAAGGUAGCGAAAUUCCUUGUCGGGUAAGUUCCGACCCGCACGAAAGGCGUAACGAUUUGGGCACUGUCUCAACGAGAGACUCGGUGAAAUCAUAGUACCUGUGAAGAUGCAGGUUACCCGCGACAGGACGGAAAGACCCCGUGGAGCUUUACUGUAGCCUGAUAUUGAAAUUCGGCACAGCUUGUACAGGAUAGGUAGGAGCCUUUGAAACGUGAGCGCUAGCUUACGUGGAGGCGCUGGUGGGAUACUACCCUAGCUGUGUUGGCUUUCUAACCCGCACCACUUAUCGUGGUGGGAGACAGUGUCAGGCGGGCAGUUUGACUGGGGCGGUCGCCUCCUAAAAGGUAACGGAGGCGCUCAAAGGUUCCCUCAGAAUGGUUGGAAAUCAUUCAUAGAGUGUAAAGGCAUAAGGGAGCUUGACUGCGAGACCUACAAGUCGAGCAGGGUCGAAAGACGGACUUAGUGAUCCGGUGGUUCCGCAUGGAAGGGCCAUCGCUCAACGGAUAAAAGCUACCCCGGGGAUAACAGGCUUAUCUCCCCCAAGAGUUCACAUCGACGGGGAGGUUUGGCACCUCGAUGUCGGCUCAUCGCAUCCUGGGGCUGUAGUCGGUCCCAAGGGUUGGGCUGUUCGCCCAUUAAAGCGGUACGCGAGCUGGGUUCAGAACGUCGUGAGACAGUUCGGUCCCUAUCCGUCGUGGGCGUAGGAAAUUUGAGAGGAGCUGUCCUUAGUACGAGAGGACCGGGAUGGACAUACCUCUGGUGUACCAGUUGUCGUGCCAACGGCAUAGCUGGGUAGCUAUGUGUGGACGGGAUAAGUGCUGAAAGCAUCUAAGCAUGAAGCCCCCCUCAAGAUGAGAUUUCCCAACUUCGGUUAUAAGAUCCCUCAAAGAUGAUGAGGUUAAUAGGUUCGAGGU